rnacentral:lncRNA from 1 species
UUCUUUUUUUUGUCUCUAGCCUUUUCAAAUUUAUCUCUCUCUCUCUCUUUAUCCCUUUCCUUCUUUCUUUCUGUACGUUAUUCUUUCUCCAUUUCUUUCUUUCUGUACAUUGUUUUUUCUCCUUUCUUUCUUUAUGUUGCUCUUUCUCCCUCUCUUUCUAUUGUUCUUUCUCCCUUUCUUUCUCUCUCUACUUUCUUUCGUAUAGUAGUCAAUAAUUCGUAGAUAGAAUAAAAUUUGUAUCAAUAAUUAAUUGGAAAAGUAAUCUAAUCGUAACAAAUGAAAAGAUAUAAUAAACUGCAAAAUGAAUUACACUUGAAUUAAAAAUGUAUUACACACAUAUUAAAGUUGAAUUAGAUGAAAUUAAACAUGAAUGCAAAAUAUAGCAAACGAAAGAGCAUUCUAUGAUCUGUAAACUGAAUAAAACUUGUAUCAAUAAUGAAUUAAACAAGUAAUCNNNNNNNNNNNNNNNNNNNNNNNNNNNNNNNNNNNNNNNNNNNNNNNNNNNNNNNNNNNNNNNNNNNNNNNNNNNNNNNNNNNNNNNNNNNNNNNNNNNNNNNNNNNNNNNNNNNNNNNNNNNNNNNNNNNNNNNNNNNNNNNNNNNNNNNNNNNNNNNNNNNNNNNNNNNNNNNNNNNNNNNNNNNNNNNNNNNNNNNNNNNNNNNNNNNNNNNNNNNNNNNNNNNNNNNNNNNNNNNNNNNNNNNNNNNNNNNNNNNNNNNNNNNNNNNNNNNNNNNNNNNNNNNNNNNNNNNNNNNNNUGUAUUAUUCAUGAAUAAAACAUGUAUUAUAUGUAUCUUAUAAAUUAUUUUGGUUUGUAUCACUAAAAACAUGAGUGAUGUUUGCAAUAUGUAUUAAAAUGUAUUGUGCAUGUAUUAUAAGUGUGUUACCUAAAUUACUUUAGUUGAUAUCAUUAAAAAGGGAGUGAAGUUUGCAAUAUGUAUUAUAAAUGUAGGAUGUAUUAUUCAUGAUUUUAAUACAAUUAUGGAACAUAUCUAAUACAACUUUAAUACAAACGCGAUAUAAUUUCGUAAACUUCAUCCUUUUCGAGUUUCUAUCUAAUAUUUCUCCUAAAAUCAAUUCCAAACUUAACCAAACCCUCUUGAAAUUGAGAUAUAAACUUCAAACGAUAUUUUCAAUUAUUCGUAGGAACAACCUAUCCAAACUAAUCGCAAACGAAAGAGCAGAAAGUAAUCUAAUCGUAACAAAUGAAGAAACAUAAUAAAUUGCCAAAUGAAUUAAACUUGGAUUAAAAAUAUAUUACACACAUAUUAAAGUUGAAUUAGAAGUGAAUUAAACACGCAUGCAAAAUGUAGCAAACGAAAGAGUAUUCUGAGAUUUGUAAACUGAAUAAACUUGUAUCAAUAAUAAAUUAAACAAGUAAUUUAAUCAUAACAAAUCAACCAAUAAACUGUAAAAUGAAUUAAUUUGUAUUAAAAGUGUAUUACACAAAUAUUAAAGUUGAAUUAGAAGAGAGAAUUAAGCAUGGAUAAAAAAUGUAACUAAUGAAACACAAGACAAUCACCUAUAGAGUGAAUUAAACUUAUAUCAAUAAUGAAUUAAACAAGUAAUCUAAUAGUAACAAAUAAUAAACUACAAAAUGAAUUAAAUUUGCAUUAAAAGUGUAUUACACAAUAUUAAAGUUGAAUUAGAAGAGAAAAUUAAGAAUAAAAAAAAAAAACAUUACUAAUGAAAAAUAAGAUAAUAAUCUAUAGACUGAAUUAAACUUGUAUUAUUCAUGAAUAAAACAUGUAUUAUAUGUAUCUUAUAAAUUAUUUUGGUUUGUAGCAUUAAAAACAUGAGUGAUGUUUGCAAUAUGUAUCGUGCCUAUGUUAUAAAUGUAUAACAAAUUUGUCACUUAAAUUAUUUUGGUUGAUAUCACUAAAAAAGGAGUGACUAAACAUUUUUAUAUGUGUUGUAAAUUAUUUUGGUUUGUAUCACUAAGAACAUGAGUGAUGUUUGCAAUAUGUAUUAAAAAUGUAGUGUGCAUGUAUUAUAACUGUGUUACGUAAAUCAUUUGGUUGGUAUCAUUAAGAAGAGAGUAAAGUUUGCAAUAUGUAUUAGAAAUGUAUUGUUCAUGAAUAAAACUUAUAUUAUAUGUGUCUUAUAAAUUAUUUUGGUUUGUAUCUCUAAGAACAUGAUUGAUGUUUGCAAUAUGUAUUGUGUCUAUGUUAUAAAUGUAUUACAAGUUUGUUACUUAAAUUAUUUUGGUUGAUACCACUAAAAAAGAGUGAAGUUUGUAAUAUGUAUUAUAAAUGUAUUGUUCAUGAUUUUAAUAUAAUUUUAAUACAAUUAUGAAACAUAUCUAAUACAACUUUAAUUCAAUUGUCAUAUGGUUCCAUAAACUUCACCUUUCGAGUUUCAAUCUAAUAUUUCUCCUAAAAUCAAUUAUAAACUUAACCAAACCCUCUUAAAAUUGAGCUAUAAAUUUCAAAAGACAUUUUCAAUUAUUUGUAGGAACAAUCUAUCCAAGCUAAUCACAAAUUCGUAAAAUUUCAAAUAAUGAAUUCAAAAUUUGAAACUUUACAAUGAACAUUAAUGGUGAACUCUUGUUGCUAUAAUUUUACAGAUUUGAAAUUUUUGCUUGAAAAUAUGAUUUUGUACAAAUUUUCAUCUUUCCAUUUCUUUUUCCGUCGUAUUUUUGGGUAAAAAUAAUGAAAUAUGGGCAAAAAUUGAUUUGAAGAUAGUUAUUUAUAUAUAUGAAAAUUUCAAAGAAGAAGAAGAAGAAUUUUUUUAAAAAAAAAGAAAGAAAAAAAAGGAGGAAGAUAAUAAUGAUAGAAAAAGAGACAAAUAAGAAGAAGAAUAAAAAAAAAAAAGCGAAGGAAGAUGAAAAAGGGUAGACAAUUUCUUAAUUCCAAAAAUUUGUUAUAUUUAGUUAGAAAAAUUAUAUUGUCAUAGAUGGUAAAUAUUUCUUUAAUAUAGCAUAUUUAUGUGAUUUACCCUUAUCGAAACCUAUAACGCUCUUGCGAAAUAUUGACUUGGUAUGAUAGAAGUCAAUUAAGUGUCAGUCCUUAGUUGUUGGUCAACUGAUUAGUUGUUAGAAUAACUAGUGCAAUGUGGAAAAACUAAUAUAGUUGUUGGAAGAAAUAGUUGGACACCUACCGAAGUUGUUCCCACAACUCACUUGUCACUUUUAUUUAAUCGAAAGACUUAAAAGGACUUUUAGCUCUUGUCACCUUUAUUUAAUUGAAACCUUAAAAGUUUCAACUCAUUUUCGUGUGAAAGGAUGUAUGUACGUAGUUCCUCGUUAUAUAUAUGAGGGUGCGCUCUUUUUUCCCUUUUCCUAUGGUACACCAUACACGUAUAAGUCUAAAUGUUUUCGAGCUUCAAUUGGUAUACAUUAAUAAUACAAAAGAUUUUCUUGCAAUGCAUUUACAGUAUCCUUUGAAAUAUGCCUGUUUUUUAUUUAAGGUUGACCCGUGAAUAUUUCAUGCCAUGAAGUAAAAAAUGCGAGUUCUUACCAUCAAUCUAUUCGACCUCAAUUCACCAUUUUAAAUUUUAUACAAAAAAAUUUAUAUACCAAUUCUUUUUUUCCUAUAUCGUAGAUGAAACAACUAAAAGGCUGAAUUCAGGUUACUAUACACCCCAACCCUAACUCCGUUCCUUGGAAGAAAAUAAUGUAACACCGAAAAAAGGAAAGCGAUCGAAUUGACAUAUAUAACUUAUAGAUGUGAUAAUAUAAAUGUGAAAUUAAGACUUUGAAACUUCCUAAUAUUGUACAUUGGAGUGUAUAUAUAUGCCUUGGUUGACAACGGUAAAAUUAUUGAAGAAGUGACUUCACGCUAUUUCCUGGAGAGAUGGAAAACCGGUCAGCUUCAGCCUCGGCCUCGGCUUUCGGGUCCUCUAGGGCAGCAGAGCCCUUGAAGAGCAAAAUAGCAAGGCUGCCAAUAUAGAAAUGGAUGAAACAACCAUAGCAAUGUGUUACAAAUGAACCAAAAUCUGUCCCUACUAUGCAUUGCCACCCUGGUCCAUACAUCGUAUCAAAUUCCUAAUUAAAAAAAAAAAAAGGGUUAGUAAUUCAUAAUUAACUCAUUUUGAGGAAAAAACUAUAUAGUUCGAAAGGUAUAUUAGCUCUAAAUGACAAAGUUGAAGGGUAUAUAUAUCAAACCCUUUAUAGUGGUGAAACCAUAUAAAAGGAAGGAAAUUCAAUCACGAAGUAAUUAUAUUUGUAUAUUUGAAUCCUUUUAACCUAUAGAGAAAUAUAAGUUCAAAUCUCAGAUAUAACAAUAUUCUUCUGAAUAAUUAGGAAUUCUCUUAUCAAAAGUACUAGCUUUUAGCCGCAAUUAAAUCCCUUUAUUAUGUUCAUAAGUAAAUUAUUUUCGCUUUUAUAUAUCCCCUUGGUAUACAAAUUUUCUAGCAGUAGUAAAGAUGACUAGGUUCGAAUUCAAGUAGAGAAAUUCACUAUCGUAUUUGAAUCUCAUUAUUAUAAUAUGACAGAUGUAGAUCACUAGGUACGGAUUCAACUAAUACUCUCAACUUACAUAAAUUUGUAAUAUUUUAUUUAAAUGCAAUCAGUAUAUUCAUCAACUCUAAAUUCUAAAUUCGACUCUAGCUAUUACUAUAAAAUAUAAAACCUUAGUAAAAGAAAAAACAAUUGAUCUAUAUAUGAUUUGUUACCUUUUUAAGAAAACGUGCAAUUUCAGUGGCCUCAGUGACAUCAAAGAAGUCAAGUGCCUUUGCAGCUAAAUCUAAUGCAUCUUGUUGCAUGGUUCCCAACAUAUCUGUGUCUCCAAUUACUGCUUUCCCUUCCAACAUCUUCAAAAAAAAUUAUUUUCCAAAAAAAGUGUGAUUUUUUUAAUUUUAUUUUUUGCCUUUCUUUUUCACUUUUUCUCUUUUUGUGUUUAUAUCAUUUUCUAUUUUCUAUUGAAUUAUAUAAGGAUAAAAGAGCAUAUAGAUGAGGAUCCUGAAUGUGUGGAGGUCAAUAAUUAGACUCAUAGGUUAAGAAAUUAAAGUGAUAUUGUAGUAUAAUUCCAAAUGUCCACUUGAGUAAAAUGACAAAUAUAGUGGGCUAGCUUUUGUUUUGCCAAUUAAUACUUUUUCUAAUAGUAUAUGGCUACGAAAUUUACCUAAUUAUAUAUACGUACGUACAGACUUAAUUUCCAUAUAUAUAUAUAUAUGUGUGGUGAAUGUAGUCGCAAUUUAUCUUUUUAUAUGGUGUUGGACAAACCUCAACUCAUGAGGUAGCUUUCAAAAUUUGAUUUCGGUCAAAGUAGAUUUUCUUUAGUUUUUUAUUUAUCCAAUAUCGAACCUUAUAUUAUGUUAUCCACACUUCAAUUGUCAAGCCUAGAAUUAUGCAUUAAUGUAUUUCCCUCAAAUCUCAAUUUCACAACCCAACACGUGAAGAAGGUGGUGUGGAAUGGUGAUUAGAGAAGUGCUGAAGUGUACAUACGUUUAUAUCCUCCAAAAACACCUCAACAAAAGCUCAAAAAAUAUUGUAAAUAAAAUAGUACUACUAAUAUUAUGGAUACAAACAGACGCAAAGUUAGAAUUUUAAUUUUAUAAUUUCUAAAUUCAUAAAUAAUGAUAUGAGAUGUUAAUUAAUAAUUAGGUUUCAAAUCUAAAUUUUAUUUUAAAAUAUAGAAUUUAAAUGUAAUUACUAAAGUUCAUCCAAGUAAGUACGAGUCGAUUUUUAGCUCCGCCCCUAAUAUCAAGACAACUCUUUCUUAAAAGAAAAAGAAGAGACUCGAUCACACGUAAUAAAUAAAUUGCGUGUUUAAUAGUACACCACUCGCUUUUUGUUUGCUUAUUCGUGCUGGCAGGUUAUUGUAGGCUAUUUUGGUUUUGGUUAUCUUGUUUUGGUUGUCAUUUCCCUUUUUUCUUCUUUAAAUCUUUUCAAUGAAGGUGGCCAAUUUGAUAAUAGAAAGUAUAAAUGAAUGGACAUUUUGGUGGGAAGUGGAUCUAAAUCAUAGAAUAACUACUUUUUACUUAAUUUAAUUUGGAGUUAGACCAUCCAUCGAAAAUUAUAACCUCUAAAUCUAUUUUCAUAAGGUAGAAAUAGGAUUGCAUACAUAUACACUGCACUUUAUAUGGUUCACUUAUAAAAUUAUACUGAAUAUAUAGUUAUUUGCUAGUUGUUAAAGACAAUUUCCUUCCAUGUAACUUCACUAUCAGUGUCCGGAGACCACAUUAGAGCUCCCACUAAAUUCGGAUCGCGCACUGCAGGGCCUAUUCCAACAAGAUUUUUUCCAUAUCCAGGUCUCAAGUGUCUGUGUCUGGAGACCACAUUAGAGCUCCCACUAAAUUUGGAUCGCGCACUGCAGAGCUCAUUUCAACAAGAUUUUCUCCAUACUCAGAGCUCAAACCCGGUGAAACACUUUCACCGGUGCACCAUAACCCAUGUUGUUUGCUUGUAACAUCUUCAAUAACCAAUCUUUUUGUAUGUAAAUUUUGUGGCUAUGCCAACAGCCACAUGGGCUUCCAACUUGUCCUCAGCUACAUACCUACCAGGAUUCAUCAUCCACAAACCGAAAAAGAAUGUAGUAAACAGAUCUAAUUAUGUGGCAGUGUAAUUUUUUCAGUACAAAAUCUAGGUGACGACUUCUUUAUUUUUUAUUUGGAAAAAGUCGUACAAUAUUUAUUAUAACAUAUAGUUCUCCUCCUAAUUGUUUAUUGAAGAGAUUACAUGUGAAGGCAUCGCACUUUUUAUUAAGUGGGCAGAUGGAACGUCUGACAAAAUCCAACUCAACCUACCAAAUAACGUGUCAUCGACUCCUACUUCGUGUCGGUAACGACACUUCCCCCGCAAUGUCACUUCACCUCUAAUUAUACUUUUCAUUGAACGCAAAAGCAUGUCAUUUGUAUAAAGUUCAAUUAUUAUACGUGUUGGAUAAUGUCAACAUUCUACGUAUUGCAAGGUCCAUGAGAGCUAGGAUAGUUCGAAUCAAAGUCAUGAUCGAACAUGACACUUGUUUGGUGGACUUAAUUAAGCAAUAAAAUUAUGACUUUACUAUCAGAUAUAACUUUUGGCAUAAUGCGUAUAAAUUCAAGUAGCAUACUUGAAUGAUAAGUUAAAAUUACUAACGUUCUGAUAAUAAAGACUGAAUCAAACUACAUGUGAAUGAUAUUGAUACAAAACAACUUAUUUAGUGUAAUUUCGCAAAUGAAAUAUGAAAAUAAUUGUGCACAUACAAAUUUCAUCCAAUUAUAUAUGUUAAAACUACAAAAUAUAACUUAGAUAAUAAUUCUAUAAUCAAAUAUCCGUACACUUAUCCUGAAAUCUAGUGUAUUAUAAUUUCAAUUCGGAUAUCAGACAUCGAGUGAGAAAAACAAAAAAGGAAAGGAGCAAGGGAGUCUUGUUGUAAUAAAGGUACUAUGAAUAUAUUGAAAGGCACUUGCUUCGCCACCUUUUCCUCUCCACCAUCUCUUCGUAUUUUUACUAUUCUAAGCUUUCCAUUUUCAUUUCUCAUUUUUUUUCUUCAGUUCGAAAACCCCAUUAAAACAUUGUUUAAUUUCUGAGAAAUAUAUUCCAUUACAAUUUUCUCCAUUAAAGCUUUAACGAAUCACCAGGUUUGAGACGACUCGUCGGAAAAUGGGGCGCCGUCUCUUCACCUGCUUCGGCAAAGGCGGUUCUUCUCAAUCUUCUUCGAAAGAUCCCAGCUCAAGUAAUAACGACAGUGCGACGGCGGAUUUAACGGCGGAGGAGCAAAAACGGUGCGGGCCGGUGGUGGUGGAGUUAUUCUCAUCACAAGGCUGCGCCACCUCACCUGAGGCGGAGCUAUUGUUUUCGAGGAUUGGGAGAGGCGAUUUUAACCUAGAAAUGCCGGUGAUUUUGUUGGCUUAUCAUGUGGAUUAUUGGGAUUAUAUGGGUUGGAAGGAUCCAUUUGGGUCGAGUUUAUGGACGGUUAAACAAAAAGCGUAUGUUGAGGCCUUAAAUCUAGAUACUAUGUUUACGCCUCAAAUUGUGGUUCAGGGACGAGCUCAAUGUGUUGGGAAUGAACAAGAUGCUGUUUUCUCUUGUAUCAAUUCUGCUCCCAGAUUUGCUGCUCCUUCAUUCCAGGUUUGUUAUUGUUGCAAAUUGAUCAUAAUAAUGCACUAUUUGAUUGAAUUUAUGGUUACAAGAUCUUUCUGUUUGAUGAAUUAAUUGAAUCAUAUGCAUGAUUGAAGCAAUUGUGAUUAAUCAGAGGUGUCGGGUUCGAACUUUGUAAAUGAAAAUCUGGUAAGGAGUGUUUCCCUGUUUCGUAGCCUUAUGUGUCGUGGAUCCAGACUAGUCGAGGUAUGAAGCGGGGUAACUGACACCGAGUGUGAAACAAAAAAAGAGAGUAUUCAUGAGUACCAGAAAGACUUGAAUGAAUGGUGUUUGGUCUUCGAACGGGGUAGGGAAUGGGGAAAUGGGUGAGGGGAUUACAAAGCAGGAAAUCGAACCACUGCCAACAAGUUGAAAGUUCAGGCAGCGAACCAACUGAGCUACUGAGAUUUCUCCUGGAUUUUCAUGAGCUUAUUAUCUUCAAAUGCAAUUUAAACCAAUUUGUCUUGGUUAUUCCUUUUGAUCAAAAUGGGUACUGAGAAUUCAUAUAGUCGAUUUCAGUUAAUGUGGGAUUGAUUGAUUUGAUUCCUCGUGAUCACUUAUGGUUGCACCAAGUUGCAAUAUACUGAUCACUGGAAAUGAGAAGCUAAAAUGGGCAUUUUGGUUAUCUUCAAAUGCAAAUCAUGUUUUACGUUACCAAUUUCUUAUGGUUAUUCCAUCUCAUCCAAACAAUCAAAAUGGAUACAGAGAAAUGGUAUAGCAGAUUUCAAUUAAUGUGUGAUUGGUCAAUUCCUUGUGAUCUUGCACCAGGUUACAAUGUACUGGAAAUAAUAAGCUAAUAUGUAGUGUAAAGCCAAUGAGAAGCUAAUCUGUGGAAUUCGAGAUUUGAUCAUUUGGAUCUGAAAAAGGUUCAUGUUAUCCCACUUCAUACCAUAAUCAAGAAGAUGUUAGCUAUAUUUUUUACCUCAGCACAUUAUUCUGAUUCUUUACUUCUUGAAUUGGUAAAAUUCAGUUCAACACUCUUCUGUGUUUGUUGGGAACUUGGGAUUAGUAUAGUUUCUUAAACUGAACUCAGUGUACUUCGGAAGCUAUGAGUUAAGAAUUCAGUAUUUGCUGAAACUUUAGUUGUUUUCUCAAUUCUGUAUCAAAAAUACUGGAUUCAGUACGAACUAAUGGUUGUUUCUGGUCUAUGCUGUGAAAAAACAUUACAGGCGACAUUCGAGAGGCCAACACCAGAGUCGUUGCAAGUAUCUCUAUUAGGAUCUCUGAGGAGUAAGGUGGACAAUGAUGGUGCCAACGUGAUGAUUGCUCUGUACGAAGGUGGUCUGGUCACUGAUAUCGCUGCAGGAGAGAACAAAGGAAAAAUGCUUGCGAAUGACUAUGUUGUCAGGAGGCUGGAUAAGCUUUGCUCUGUAAAGGAUAUUACUGCAAAGAAGACAAUCUCAGGAACUGUCAACUUCUCUCUUUGGGAUGGCUUCAAUAGCAGCAAAUGUGGCGUAACGCUCUUUGUGGAAACUGGCUCUCAUCAAAUAUGUGGAUCACAAAACUUUAAAUUGCCGGAAAAUCUCUGAAUUCUUGGAUGAUAUAUCACUGAUUGAAACUCUUGAUGUGCUGGUUAUAGGUUGGAUUGCUUGUAGUGCACGUCUCUGAUUAAAAUCAAAUCUGCAAAACAUUCUAUAUACCAGCUUGUUCCUUGUGUAUAUAGGUUGUGUGAGACUGUUCAUGUUAGAUUCUUCAUCCUUUUCUUCUUCUUACUGUUCAUUCCUUUGCUUUUUUUAUAAACGGUUUGACAUAUAGUGAUUCUUUCCUUGUACUAUGUAAUUGGAUUAUUAGAAAUUGCGGCUAGAGAUAUUUUAGUGUAAAUGCUUUUCCCAACAUUUUAUUUUAGUUUUCACCUAAUCAUAUAAAUUUACUAUGAUUUAUCCAAGUUAAGUAGGAACAAUCUAAUUACACAAGCAUUCUUGCUGUAAAUACUAAUUCACUAUGUAGUUUGAAAUAAUUACAUUUUGUUGAAAUAAUUAACAAUUUUGUACAAAAUUUCAAGUUAGAUACACCAUUUCUUCAUAUUACAAGUCAGAUACAUAUGUAUACAUACAUGUAUCUAUGAAACCAGAUACAUUCAGAAAUAGAAAUACAUAGAGAGAGAGAAGCGAGCUAGAGAAUCAUUGCAUCUCAAAUACAUAUGAAUCACACUAAACAUGUAUCUUUAAGACUAGAUACAUAGGGAGAGCCGAGCGAAAGAGUUAGUGUAUCCCAACACUUCUUGGAUAUAGAAUUACACCUAAUUUAACUCAUAUGCAUCCAAAAUACAUGAUCUAAUAAAGUAAAUUAGAUACAUAAGGUAAUUUUGGAAACUAAAAUAAAGUCACUUAAUUAACCCGUAAACCAGUAAAAUUAGUGUUGUUUACUCUUUUAAGUUAAUGAGGUAAAAAUGCAUGUCAGUGAAUUACAAUCUUGUAUGCGUUACUUCAAUUCCCUAGCACGAGACACCCAUAGAUAAUUCCAAUUUCCACUAUCUACCAUAAUAAGAAUUAUUUUAGUUUCUGUCUCCCUUUGUGGAACUCAGAACAUUAUGGCUACACGAGCAGUAUUCAAAAGAAUAGGUUUUCAGAAAAAAGUAAUGCAAUAUCUACAAGAAUACAACCAAAGCAAUUACAUAACAAGCUUUUACUCCAUGAAGAAGAAACUAAACCUCCCACUGAUUAUUUUUCUUUACAAGACGGACCACACUGUCCGUUUUCCACCAUCCUUCGAAAGAAUUAAAGCAGAAUAUGGAUGGAUGUGGCUUGACAUUUCAAUUAUGGCAAAAGAAGGAACUUGCAUUAAAAUCCACUAGUUGCUUUACACUGAAUCAACAGCCUCAACCUGCUGCCGAGCGAGAUACUUCUCCCUUCGUUCCUUCUAUUGAACAAUAGCAAGCAGACACACAUUGUUAACAGGAAUCAAACUUGGAAAGAUACAUGCUUUUAUAUGCAAAGAUAGAUAGCCUUACCCAUUCAUCUAUUACUAGACCUUCUCCUACAACUUUAGGUCCAGUUUCAACAGGAGGUUUCUUGCGAGAUUCUAAUGCUGCCUCGGCUUCAGCCAACUGACGUUUUAGUUUUUCCAGUACCUUAAUCAAUCAAGUUAUUUAGUUGGAGAAUGAACUCGGAGUAAAAUGAACAAGCAGAUAAACAGCAGCAUGUUUAAUUCUUACUGGAGAAGGUCGUUCUGGGUCCAAGAACACCACCCGUAGGAUACGUUCAAUAGUCACUUGAUCCUUCUGUUCUUCAAACUGCAUCAACAUGAACCAAAAGGGUUAUAACACUAUUGGAUUUAUUGAUAACAAACUUUGAGUCACGCUAUAGACUUAUAUUCUUUAGUUACACAUCAGAUUUCACACACAAUGACGACAGAGGCACAAGGCUCACACAUUUGUUUUUGAGAGCACAUGUACCCAAUCACUUUCUGUAUGAUUACAUCAAGACUUCCCUCCAAGGGGUACAGAAUGAUGAUGAAAGAAAAGAGUCUUUUGUAAUCCUGACUUUGUCGAGGAGAGGACAAGAAGAAAUGGGUUAUGUAUGACAUUUGAUGCUCCUAGAUUUGAUACAAAAAAGAGACGGAACAUUUCAAACAUGGAGGUUGCAGGCAAAAGCAACUUAUCAUGGCUACAUUGUAAAAAAUACCUGAUCUCAACAGCUUCCUCUAUUCAAUGUCUAUGCUAUUUUUACAGGAUACUCUAACUGAUGUAUACAAUAAAGAAAAGUAUUUUGUCACAAAAUUCAAUUUGUGAAUGAAAGAAGCAGCAUCCACAUGUAAAGUGGAUUUUAAGAUAACACAUCUCUGUAAAAUUCAACAAUCCUUUUCUCUGAACAUACCAACAGCAACUUAUCCAAUGUUUGAUGCGACUUAAAAAUGGACGGGAAUCAGCUAAAAUAUACUUUCUUAGUCAAAGCUUACUGGAAAGUGCUUCCUCUAUGUCACAGAUAGCAAAGGUGGAUAGACAGGAGCAUGCAGAGAAGAUGUAGUUUCAAAUAAUGCCUGACCUAUGAUAGAGCUCCUCAUUUACCCACAUCUUAUCACAAAAUGCUCUAUUCAUAUAAGCAGUAAAAAAUAAUCCUAGCUGAUUUUCAUAAAUAUGUUCAGGUGGAUAGGACAGGGUCUAUUCCGAAUAGAUAAGUAAUGAACUCACGACUUUCAGUACAAAAAAGGACAAAAAUAAAUUGUCUAGAAUCCUGACAAGUGGUCAACACCUUUACCCUUAAAUAUGUUUUAUUAAAGUGCAUUAAAUCAUCAUCAAGAAAAUUGAUAUGUUGCUCAAAUGAUAAGUCUAUAGCUGAAGAAGCAUGAUACCCUAACUUUCUUUGUGGUCAAAAGAUGCUGCAAAUCCAUAAAAUUGCUUCUUUUAGAAAGAUCGAGGAAGUUCAGUUACUCACCAACUCAGGUACGUAAUCUACUCCUUCUUUCACCUUCAAGCUCAUGAUCUUGAACUUGACUUUGCUCUUUUGGUCAACAGGCUUUUCGUUGUUCUCAGGGUGCUCGACAAACUUGAAGACUAUCAUUUAGACACACAAUCCAAAUCAUAAUUGAUAUUUUUCAUUUACAAAAAAAUUAAAAGGAAUAGUGGAAGCAAGAAAACUUAGGAAAACCAAUUACCAGUGGCAACAACACUUUCACCGGGUUCGAGAAUGCCUCCAGGAGGUCGCAUGUAGCAGCUCUUUGGUGCAGUAGUUUGAAACUAAAAUGCAAAAAGAAGAAUCAGGAAAAGGAAGUAUCAGAAACUUACACCACCAGUAAUAUUGUGUGACAAUCAUAAACAAAACCUCCAUAUCACAACAACUACUACUACUAUGCUCUAUACUUCAAUCUCAAACUAGAAGAGGUCAGCUAUAUUAUUUACAGAAACACCAGUACAAAUAUUUUUACUUGAAGAAUCUUACAUGAUGCAUUGUGAAUAUAAGACCCAAGACAACCUCAAUGAACUUCAUUUUGCUUUCAUUAGCUAACUUCUAUUGGUUUAGUCUUUUCGACCCUAAAAGCAUAAAACACACUCAUUUUAUGUAGGAAUUGAAUUAGCUACAAUAAAGAGUAAACGGGAACGAUUUGAAAGUAGAUGCUAUUGGUUCAAAUCAUGAACCAUCCAGAAGAUCCAGAAAUGGUAAAAUCAUUAGGAAAUAAAUGACAGUUAGCCCCUACUCAAAGCCUUUUCCUUCUGAUAGAUGCAAACACUUGGCAGGCCGCAUAGAUUAAAAGAGAUUUCUGAAAACUACAGACCUAACUAGCACAAAUUACCAUAGUUGAUUUCUCAUAUAGUCACUCAACUAAUAGUUACUAGCUCAAAAAGUUUCCAAUUUUCUUCCACAAAGAAAGUGACUUUUCUGAGAUCAUAAUUAUUAAUUGAGUGACCAUUUGAGAAAUCAAUGCCAAAUAAAGAUUACCUUAAAUGCAACAUAAGAUUUGCUAGUGUUCUUAAUCUUUACAGCACUCUUCACCUGCUUUCCCGGUUCAUCUGGAAAAAAAAAAUCAAUAUAAAAUUUAACAGGUAAAAGCAGAGCACAAUUCCUCCAGUUUUCAACACGAAAAAUUAUAAGACCUAAAAAACCGGAAAUUGUUGACUAAAAAAGGUCAAUUUAGUCAACGGCGAGGUAAACGGACGUACAAGGGAAGUAGAGACUGUUAGCUGGAUCGAGCCGAAGUCUACGUCGAGCCGGAAGCAGUGAUCUAGCAACGGAGCUAACUGACGUAGAAGCACGAGAGCUGUUAGAUCCGACGCCGUUUUGGUGACUGUGAUUCUGAGAGUGAAGAUUCUGUGUAGACGACGAAGAAGAAGAAGUUCCUGAUUGCCAGAGAGGACAAAGCUUCCAGAGCUUUCCGUCGGAGUUAUGUGACUUGUGGUGGUCGGCGAUGGCCAUAGGACGGAGUUUUGGCCGGAAUCUAGUCGAGUUUACCGACGACAAGUUGCAAUUUUCCGGUGAUAAAAAUUAGGGCAGCUUGUAAUUGUCCUUAGUGAGCAAACUCUUUCACGACGUUGACUAUAUGUUUUGAAGGUCAGAAACAAGUCUUCGGGAAAUUGUUUUCUUUCUGUAAUUCGUCGAUUCAGCGGCUGAUAAAGACCACCGAAAGCUUAAAACGAUUUGGACAUAUAUAUAGCUGUAUUUUUUAAAAAAAAAUAAUUGUAAUUGUAAUUUAAGAGUAGAUAAAAUAAGUGCAACGCGUUAAAAUAGUUUGGACAUAUAAACGUAAGUGUGAGAGAUAACAAGAAGUUGAAAAAAUAAGUUAUGUUUAAAAAAAAAGGAAGUAAUUAGACAAAAUUUGACAGAUUUUACUAAAUACAUAAUUCUAGAUAGAAACUUUUGAAAGUCAAUGAUUAAAGUAGAAGAGGCUAGUAAGAUAUUAGUAAUGGGAUAGGCUCUUAUUCUUUAUUGCAUAUUAAUGUUACUUAUGGCUUGAUUUGUUUGAUAUCUUUGUUAUUUUGUCGUACUAUCAUUAUGCAAUUUUGUUUUAGAAAUAUGUCUUUUGAGACAAAUAUCUAAUUCAGUCUUUUAAUUUCAUAAAAAUAAGAAUAAUAGUAAGUUUAUCGUAUUUUUUACACUCUAUUUAUAUAUAUGAUUAUAAUGAGUAUGUUAUUAUCGUUAGUAUAAAAUUUUCUAUUCGAGUUUGAUCAAUUUGAAUUGGCAAAAUAUAAAAUUUAUUUAAAAAGAGAACAUUUUCUACCAUAAUUUUUUCAAUAUUUAAAAUUUAAAAUCAGUAUUUUUAUUUAAAGAUAAAAAUAUAUUAUUCAUCCCAUCAAGAUGCUUAAAAAUAUUUGCAGUUGAUCGAAGAGGAAAGUGCACAGAAAUAAGCGCGUUGUCGGACUUCAAAUCACAGUUUUAAGUGCAUUUUGUUUUUGUUUUCACUCCCUUUUACACCAUUAAUUAGUUGAUAAAAAUGGUCAAUCUUGCAAAAUUAUAGCAGUAACAUUCUAUGCACUAAGUUAAUUUAAUUUAACUAUCUUUUGGGUGAUUAAUUACUUGUGUACAUCAUUCAUGGAGUUGUAAAAUCUGAGCUUGACAUAGAAUCCUCAUAUCAUAUUAUAAAUUAGGCUUCAAGUUAGUCGGUUUAGACAUGCACGAUAUUGAGUCUUUGAUUGUAUAUGAUGUUCUCCUUGUAUGAUUUGAAACAAUCUUCACUUUAUGAGUUAAUUUUGAAGCUAAGUCUAAAUUUCAUUUUGUUAUCAUAAUAUUAAAGCUAAGCUAGACUCACCUCAAUUCUUUAUUUAUCCGAUGUUGAAUAGUCAUAUAACACAUUUACGCACCAAUUGACAAGUCUGGGCGUGAGGGCAUGCAACAACAAUGUUGAAUCUCUACAUCUACAUCAGCUAUUUAAGGAUGAGAUAAAAUAAGAUUACCCUUUUUUAUAUGAAUUUAGACAAUUUUCAUCUCACAAGCUAAGUUUAGAUUAAGUAAAUUUCAAGUUCUAUUUGUUAAUUAGACUCAGGUCAUUGUCUAUAGUCUAUAGUAGAUAUAAAAAUCAUCUAUAAAUUGGGACAAAAUCAAUGCAUGUGCAUGUUUGAAAGAGAUUUUAAUUUCACACAUUCCUCCUCACCUUUUGGCAUGAAAAAAAGUGUAAUAUAAAAGUUUCCAACUUAAAGAAGUAAUAGUAAAAUCUUCAUAUUUCAACUACUUAAUUCAAAAAUUGUUGACCUCUCUUCUACAUUUCAUAUAUUUUAAUAGUACUCCAAGUUCUUUUCAAAGUUUCUUGUAUUUUUUGGACUUUGUUUCCAUUUUAGAUGGCCACAAGAUUCUAUUUUUAAUCCAAUAUUCUAAAAUCCUAAGUGCUCAUUCAAAAAUAAUACACUACUUAAUAAGUUUUGUUGCUUUUAGAUAAUUAUACGCAUCGUUUUUGUUUUCAAUAUGAAAUUUAUUUGAUUCACAUCAAUAAAAACAUUUAAUUUAAUGAAUAAGAGUUCAAUUUUUUUCUUACAACAAGAUAUAGUCAUAAUAAACAUAUGUACGUAUCACUAAAAUUGAUAUACAUUUAUACAAUGGCCAGUGAUAGAGCAACAUGUAUCACGUAUAAUAAAGGACAGUCAUUUGGAUAUUUCUAAUCAAAAUAUUUAAUAAAAUAUAAGUAAAUAUAUAAUGUAACCUCAUAACGACAUAUAUCGAUUUAAAAGAUUCUAGAAAAAAAUUCUCAAGUAUUAAGUUAGACAACAAUAACAAUAAUAUAUAUCUAGUGUAAUUUCACAAAUAAAAGUUAAAAAUAAUAAUAUAUAUGCAAUUCUUAUCAUUAUCUCAUAAAGACAGAGAACGUUAUUUUCGAUAAACUCAGACAAGAUCGCAUAUAGAUAGAGGGACAAUAACAUGAGUAGACAGCGAAUGUGAAAUGGCACGGCAUCUGGCUGUUAGGCAAUGACAAAUUAAUAACUCUAAUGAUCACGCGUACCUAAUUUGUCAGUAAUCUUAUCAAUGAACAUUAAGUGUCAAAUUUCCUAAUUAAUUUUCUAUUAAAUAUACUUUUUUCAACUUUGAUUUUGACUUUAAAUACUCGUGAUUUUCAAUUAAUCAAACUUUCAAUAUGAAUUAUUCGAUUCUUUUUAAUUUUAAUAUACUAAACUUUCAUUCUGUGUAAAAUUCAAAAAAAAAAAAACCGAAUCACUGAGAUCUAUUAUAUCGAAACUUAUCAUACACAAAAUAUGAAGGCCAAUUUUAUGGAUUUUGUAGUGAAGGAAUUUAAAGGGGGAGUAAUAAUUGUUAGCAAAAUAAUUGGUGGAUAAUUAAAGAGGAAGGUGGAUGAGUUAUAGAGACAUUUACAUUUGUCGGCUCUGUGUUGUUGGUGUAGGUUAGUUGGAUGGUAGAAAUUAAUUAGGUAAUUAAACAACACUUUUCAGCUGAUUUUGACUCACUCCCUCAACAUUAUACUCCCUCCAUAUGUUAUUUCUCGGGAUUUGAGUCAUCUGAAUAUGAAAUCAUCUUUAUUUGAAAACGUUCUACUUUUAAUGUGAACUUUUCAAUACGAUUACAAAUUUCAUCUUUACUGUGAGAUUUUUCUAUACAAAUUCAAGUUUAUUAUACUCCUUUAAAUGAAUUAAUAACUCAUUUAUUUAUUAUCUCAAUCUAUUAUGAUAUACAUAUCCUUCCCACCGUCUAAGGUGAAUUUUAAAAUCAGAGAUUAUAACUCUAGCAUCAGUACAAAAAUUGAAAGUCACGUAAACCACUUAAAAAAAGACAUUAAAAAAAAAAUUAUACCAAACUUUAGGGAAUUGAAAAAGGAAAAUGGACCUCAUUGUUUAUUUGUUAAUCCCUCCGUUUCUUUUUAUAUGCUACAUUUUUAUAUUUUACUUGCAUUAAGAAAUCAAGUUUACCAUUCUACCUUUGUUUAAUAUUUUUUUGAAGUUAACUUUUUAAUAAAUGAUAAAUAAAGUCAUCUUUUAUUUUUAAUUUGUUUGUUGAGAUUUUUUUUUCAAAAUCAGAUUUUAUAGAGUAAUGCAAUAAUGAGAGUAAUUAAUCAAUGUAUGAAGUAAUUACAAUGAAUAUUAAUUAUUUAUUAACUUUCCUAAGUUGGUCAAAUAUCUAUUUUCAAGACUAAUUAACUAUCAAGGGUAUAAUAGGAAUAAUAUUAUAAUUUUUGCAUUGAUUUUAUAAAAUGACAAGCACUCUCUCUGUCCACUUUUAUUUGUCAUGUUACAUUUUUUGAAAGUCAAUUUGAUUAAUUUUCAAGUUAAUUAGACUACAUUAAUUUAAUAUUUUAAAUAAAAAAUUUAGAUAUUCAAAAUUUAUAUUAAAAUUACUAUAAAUGGCAAAGGUCGACUACACUAUUUCAAAAGAUUUUGAAAUAGUGUAGUCGACCCAUGGAAAAGAGUUAUGCUAUUUUCCCUAAGCACCUACCCACACUAUUUCACAAAAAUUUGUGCAUUGAGCAAAGUUGUAGCCCAAAUUAAAUCCAGAAUGAUUUUUCACCUAUUCUAUUGGAAUCAAUAAAGUGCUCAAGUACAAUAAUCUAUAUGAAUGUAGAUUUUCAAUAGAGUGAUUCUUCACCUAUCUUAUCGGAAUCAAUAAAACGAGAAUCGAUAUCGAUCGACCCGUACCUGAUAUCUUAAUUGUAAUUUGGGCACAACAUUAUUUUUGCUAUUGCUAAUAGUAAAAUUUUUACUUAAAUUAACUUCAAACAACUCAUAGUAUUACUAAUUAAAUUGAAAGUUCAUAUUACUUUACUAUGAUUGAGUGAUAAAAUGUGUUUGUUACAAUAAAUAUUCAAAUAUACUUAAUAUAAACACUCGCUGAGAAUAAAUUUUCAAAAUCGAAUCUCCAUUCAAACUUUGGUUAAAUGGUAUAACAUUACUCUUUUCACUAAUAGAUCAUAUAAUAAAUUUAAGUAAAUAACUCUAAAAUCUGACAGUACUUGGACCCCAACAGUUCAGAUCUAUAACUUUACUCAACGUCUCUUCCGUUUUCCUCAACUUCUCACCGGAGACGAUCGCCGGAGAAGAUGCCACCGCCGGAGCCGUCGAGAAUCUCCAAGCCGAGGUAUUAUUAGAAGCAAUUAAAUUAGUUUUGGCAUAGUGAUGAAUCGAUCUUAAAGCGUAAUUCCAUCUGGCAAAUCCUUGAUCUUUCAAUGCUUCUACUGCUCCAAUACUUGCUGCUACGAUCCAUGCCGAUCCCUUUGCUGCUGCUGCAUUCAUUUUUUUUUUUCGGAAAAUUAAAAAAUCUCUGUGAUUUUGUUGAUUGAUUUGAGAAUGAAUUAGAUGUUAAUUGUAUAAGUAUAUAUAUAAAAUGAAGAAUCUGGAAAACAGAGAGAAAGAAGGAAAUAUGAAACUACAGGCGGAUUUGCCUAUAGUUUUGGAAAACAUCCACAGUUUUUAAUUUACCUGCAUAAUUAAGUAAAAGGAAUUAAUUAGUGUGGUAAUUGAGAACGGUUUUAUCUAAUUACACAAAAUAGCCCUACCAUAAAUACUAAUCUACUCUAUAGUUUGAAAUAUUACACAUUAUCUCAUUAAUUCAUAAUUUCGUAUCAGAUUUCAAAUCGGAUAUAUUAUUCCUUCAAAUUUCAAGUCAAUACACCAUUUUUUUAAAUUUCUAAUUUCAAAUUAGAUAUAGAGAGAACUAGUGUAUCUGAAAUACAUGUGGAUUACGCUUGAAUAUAGUGUAUUUGAAACAAAGUAUACUUAAUUUGAUUCGUAUAUAUAUAUAUGAAAUACAUGUAUUUGACAAAGUACAUAUGAUACAAAAGAUAAUUUCGAAAACUAAAGAAAAGACAUGUAGUUAAAUCCUAAAAUAAUGAAAUUUGCGUUGUUAGCAGAAAAAACAAACUACGGUAGUUGUGCACGUGGCUGAGAUAUGAGGUACAUGUAUAUUUGAUAAAGUAAAUAUGAUACAAAAAUAAUUUUACAAACAAAAAGAAUAGAUGCGUAACGUAAAUUCUAAACUAAUGAAAUUGUGUUGUUAGCUAAGAAACAAACUAUGGCAGCUGGGUAUGCGUCUGAGAUACAUGUAUCUAACAAAGUAAAUAUGAUCAAAAGACAAUUUCGAAAACUAAAAAAUAAAUUACGUAACUAAAUUUUAAACUAGUGAAACUUGUGUUGUUAGCUACGAAAAAACAAACUACGGCAGCUGUGCACGCGGAAAUCUUUUCUUCUUUUUCUUUUGAAGCCAGUUUCCUAGUUAGAUAGGCCCACGAAUUUUGGACUCAUGGGUUGUUCACCGGGCCAUUUCCACUUUUGCCACUAUUUCGAGUUUGUCUAUAGUUUUUAGGAAAAAUUAGCAAUUAAGCCAUAAUACCUAAUAUAAUUAGUCAAAAUAAUAACACUUUAAAAUAUUUAUUUAAAAUGGCAGAAUGACAAUAUUUUUAUUAAAUAAUAUGUAUUCAGAUUUUAAAUUAAUUUUAUUUAUGAAAAGAGUCCUAUACUGGACCAAAUUAUAUAUCAAUAACCGUUUAAAAGUGAAAAAAUAAAAUAAAACCCAAUACCAUUAACCUUUUUUCAUCACCAUUCACGUUUCUUCCCCAACUUUCACGUUUCUUCCCCACCUUUCACGUUUCAAGUUUAUCUUUCUUCAAGGUGUUAAAUUGUUGUUCAUCAAGAAAUUUUCUUUAUAGUUAAACGAAAUCUCUUUAUUAAUUCAAGUAGAUUUCUCGGUUGGCAAGGUAAUUUCCAUUAUCCAUUUCGAUUAAUUAUUUAGAUUUCUUUUGAUUUGUUUUCAAUAUCAUUGUUUAUGGUUUAUAUUUUGCAUUGUACAUAUUACGGAUUUUCUGUCAAUUUUUUCGAUUUUUAUGCAAGUUUGUUUACAUAUUCAUCUAAUAUUUAUGUAUUUCAAUUAGUUAUUUAGAUUUCUUUUGAUUUAUUUUCAAUAUCACCAUUUAUGAUUUAUAUUUCGCAUUGUACAUAUUACGGAUUUUCCGUUAAUUUUUUCGAUUUUUAUGCAAGUUUGUUUACAUAUGCAUGUAAAAUUUAUGUAUUUUAGAUUUUUAGUCGAUUAAACAAUUUUUUUUCAAUUUUUUUCUGAUUUCGUUUUAAUAUUUCAGAUUUAUUAGAAUCUACAAAUUCAUUCAUAUGUUUAUUUUGUUUGAUUUUUAAUACAUUUAUAUUUGCUUUUAGGGUUUUAGAUUUGGGGAAAGCAUUUGUCUGUUUACAAUGUCUAAAUCAACAGUUUAUUUGUGUAUUCAUUCUAUCUAUUUAUCAACAAGUUUUACAUUUUUUGUUUUUACAUUGUAUUUCAAUCUCAAUUAGUAUACCAACAUGUUUGUAUUUCCUACUUAAUUUGUAUUCAUCCUAACUGUAUGCUAACAAUGUUGUAUUUUAUUGGGUAUUCAUUCUGUAUUUCAAUCUCAAUUUAUAUGUGAACAAGUUUGUAUUUCUCUUUUGUUUUGUAUUCAACCUAAUUGUAUACCAACAAGUUUUGUAUUUUAUAUGCCUACUUUACGUUUCGAAGUCACUUUGUAUUUCAAAUGAAGAGAGUAUUUAAUUUUUUGUAUUCACAACUUUAUAUUCAAUCUCACUUUGUAUUAACUUUGUAUUUUCAUCUCACUUUUGUAUUCAUAUAUUGUUGUAUUCAACAGUAUAGUUCAUGAUCCAUUAGUUUGUAUUUUUGACCUUUCAAAGUCACUUUGUAUUUCAAAUGAAGAGAGUAUUUAAUUUUUUGUAUUCACAACUUUAUAUUCAAUCUCACUUUGUAUUAACUUUGUAUUUUCAUCUCACUUUUGUAUUCAUAUAUUGUUGUAUUCAACAGUAUAGUUCAUGAUCCAUUAGUUUGUAUUUUUGACCUUUCAAAGUCACUUUGUAUUUCAAAUGAAGAGAGUAUUUAAUUUUUUGUAUUCACAACUUUAUAUUCAAUCUCACUUUGUAUUAACUUUGUAUUUUCAUCUCACUUUUGUAUUCAUAUAUUGUUGUAUUCAACAUAUAGUUCAUGAUCAAUUAGUUACAUUAACUUAAUGGGAUACAAAUUAUUGUAUGCAUUCAAAUAGAAAAAACAACUACUAAACUAAAAAAAAAUAAAAUUCAUUCGUUAUACAUCAUAAUUUGGAUACAAAACAUCCGAAAAAAGCUAUAAAUCCCAAUGCAUACAAAGAUUUCACUGAUUCAAUCAAAAAAAAAAACUCUUGUACUCAACAUAUACGAAUAUCUCAUCCAAACAAAUAAAAAAAAAUACCUGAUUGUUCAUUGGAUGCGACAAAUUUAUAGUUGUCAAUUUUGAAAAUUUUUGUUUCAAAAAUAUGUCGUAUUCAACUUGAAGAAGCUUUGAAAGUUAUCAGAUGAAUGAUUCGGAAGACAAACUAAAUUAUUUAAUUUUUUUUUUAUGUUCUUAAGAAGAAAGCAAAAAAACGCUCAACAGAAAGAUGACUAUUUAUGCUCUUUUCAAAACGUAACUGAUUUGUAUUUAAAAUCUUUUUUACCUUUUUUGAUAUUUUUUGUUCCAUGAUUUUCUCCGUUCUGUUAUUAAUUAUUUAUAUUCUUUCAAAUUAAUCAAAAUAAAAUAAAUACAUAACCAAUCCCUUAACAAACUAAAAUAAUGACAUUUUUAAUAAAUAAUGAAGCCUUUGCUAAAGAGUCCCACUAAAGCUAAAAUAUUGUUGUUUUGAAAAUUUCCCCUUUAUAUUCCUCGUAAUAAAUAAUUUCUUUACGAAAUAUAAAUUUAUAUUUUUCAUAUUAUUAUAAUAUUAACAUAAUGUAUUAAUAUACUUUUAAAUUUAGUAUUAACUGACAUCUAUAAAUAAACAUUUACAUAAAAUUAAAUAAGACGUAUGUAUCUGUUUGGUUAAUUUUAUACAAAUUUAAAUAUUUAUUUAAACGUAUUUAAAAUUAAAGGACAUAAAUAUCAAUUAAAGCCAAGUAAAGAGCACAUUUUAUAUUCAUAAGUUGUGUUCAAAUUUUUGAUGAAUUGAACUCAAUUUGACCCUUACUCACUAUCUUGAAAAAGAGAUUUAACUUCAUGGAAGUUGUUAAAUGUUUGAUCAAACUGAGUUACGGGACAGGUGCACAAACAUCACACAUCCGCCGCCUACCUACCAUUUAGGUGGUACCAAUAAGAUCCAACUACUUUUUUUUUAUACUCCCUGUGUUCGUAAUUUGUCCAUUUUUGAAUUGACACACUUAUUAAGAAAAUAAUUAUUGACAUUGUAAGUUUACCAUUUUAUCCAUAUUAAUUGUAAAGUAAAUGAAUUAAAAACUUAAGAUUUUCAAGAAGUUCUCCCAUUUUCAAAGUAAUUAAUUGAAGGUAUAAUAAGUAAAAAAAAAAGUUAUCCUUUCUUGAUUUGUCCUUUUUGAUUUGUCAAAAUGGACAAGUAAUUAGAAACAACUAAAAAAUAAGUGAAUAAGUAAUUAGGGACAGAGGGGUAGGUGUUUACCCUUGAUUCAAUCAAAAGAUUAAAUCAAUUAUGAAAACAUGAAUUGAAUUAGUCAAUCUAUUAAUGAAACAAGGUAAAAUAUUAUCAAAGACGAGUGAAGUUAUCAAGUCUCCGCGCGCAUUGCAUUGCUACACAUCUUGUUUUAGAGAAAUUUGAGAAGAGGUAGAGAGGGGACAUCAAACCUGUUGGAUCUGCAGUAAUCAUAUAACUCCUUGGUAAAUUGUUCCUUCAGAGAAUUAAAAACAUGAUUGAGUGUAGCGUUGAUGAAAAAUGAGAAAGGCCAAAAUACAGAAAUUCUCAAAUAUGUCAUCAACGCUGCACUCAAUGAUGUUUCUAAGCACUCUGUAAUAAAGGGCAGUUCGGUGCUCUAAAACUCCCUCUAUGUGCGGGCUCCAGCGAUACUAUGGACUAUGCACUCUACCAUAUUUCUGGAAAAUCUCCUGCUUCACAUUAUUUUGCAGCACACUUUCCACUUCCUUUUAUCUUAGUCCACCCUGUUAAUCUAAUUUAAUAGUAGGACAAUUGAAGUACUGCUGGAAAUUUUGGAGUAGUACAUUUGAGUAUGAAUAUAUUCGUACUUUUAAUUUUAGCUCUCUCUCAGGUUGUACUUGACUCUACGACUCAUUUGCAGUUAUCCUUGAGUUGUACUAGACAAUUUGUACUGCUGUUACUGGAAAUCCACUUCUUGAUUUUUUAAAAUUUGUUUAUUCCAUCCAUAUUGUAGUUUGACAAAGUAAACAACCCUACACAAAAUGACAAAACUGCAAUCCUGCAUUUGUUUUUGGAGGACUAUAGGUUCCAAAACUUGGUCUAGAGGUUAAGGUGGAGACAUGUCAAUGAAAUCCCAUCUAAAUGUGGUUAACAUAUUAUUCAAGUGCUGAUUUCCUCUCUAAUAGAGUAUGAACUAUGAACUAGGAACAAUAUUAGACCAAAUACAUAGACAACCCGUAAAGUUAUCAAUCAGACAUCUAAUGCAUGCCUAAAAAAGGCCUAUUGAGCAAUCAACAACAACAUUCAUUUAAAAUUUAAAAACAAAAGAGUAGGAACAAAUAAAAUCUAUUAGAACCAGUAGAACAGAAUGAUCCGUACAUGUAUGGAAGAAAAAUCUUUCAAAAUUCAGGUCCUAAAGAAGUUUAUACUCUUCUACUUGAGAUUUGAAUUUGUCUAAGAUCAAUGAAUGUUACGAGAGACAUUUGUCGUAUGUAUUCAACCUGCUUAACAAAUGACAUUAGCAAGCUGACUCCAGAAGUUGCUUGGUCCUGCAUGCAUAUCCCAACAUUUAAUCCUGAUCCGAGAUGUCCAUUGUUCAACUCUCAAGUCUUUCAAAAAAGUAGAGGUAUCCCAUAUCCAUAGGGGGAUUUUUUGAGACCCCGACUUUUUCAUCAUUGAAAAUCACCCACCGGCCAUCUUUGUUAAUAUGAGCGACAUAAUGGCCACAGUGGGUAGAUGUGCCGAUGUGGCUCACGAAUCCAAGGAGCCUGUAUUCUGUUAAUUAUCCAAGAAGAUACACUUGGUCAAGACCCAAGUGGGCAUAAAAGAAUAUAGAAGUAAACAAAAAUCUCACUAUCAAGGAUUGUGAUGCAUUGGAUGAAAUUCAUAAUAAAAUUGAAGUAUUAAAACCCUUUUAAAGAGAUGUAGGGAACUUCUAUCAUCCUAAAACUUUAGGUUAGUUAGGUCAAGUCCCAUU